UGAAAGGGGGUGGGCAAGGCCCUGCUGGAGACGUGCCAGGCCAGGCAGGCUGGCUCACAGAGGAAGUUCUCAUGGAGGAAACAGCCCCUGUGUGUGUCUGUGCUCCUCCUCCUUUCGUGCGAAACCAGCACACUUAGCAAGGGGAUAAAGACCAGGACCCUGUCACCUUUGCAUCUACACUUGUACAGUAGCACAGCUGCAUG
rnacentral:lncRNA from 12 species